AUUGAGUGCGUAUGUCUGUGAAUGUGUAUGUUUCAGUGAAAGUGAAACAUACACAUUCACAGACAUACGCACUCAAUCU